rnacentral:rRNA from 1 species
CACGUAGGGCGCGAGCGUUGUCCGGAAUUAUUGGGCGUAAAGAGCUCGUAGGCGGCCUGUUGCGUCCGCUGUGAAAGCCCGGGGCUUAACCCCGGGUCGGCAGUGGAUACGGGCAGGCUAGAGGUAGGUAGGGGAGAAUGGAAUUCCCGGUGUAGCGGUGAAAUGCGCAGAUAUCGGGAGGAACACCGGUGGCGAAGGCGGUUCUCUGGGCCUUACCUGACGCUGAGGAGCGAAAGCGUGGGGAGCGAACCGG